rnacentral:rRNA from 1 species
ACUCAAAGGAAUUGACGGGGGCCCGCACAAGCAGCGGAGCGUGUGGUUUAAUUCGAUGCAACGCGCAGAACCUUACCGGGGUUUGACAUGUGCCUGUAAGGCCGGGAGACCGGUCCCCUCUUCGGAGCAGGUGCACAGGUGCUGCAUGGCUGUCGUCAGCUCGUGCCGUGAGGUGUUGGGUUAAGUCCCGCAACGAGCGCAACCCUCGUCGCUAGUUGCAUGUUUCUAGCGAGACUGCUGCGCAAAACGCAGAGGAAGGUGGGGAUGACGUCAAGUCAUCAUGGCCUUUAUGCCCCGGGCUACACACACGCUACAAUGGGCGGUACAGACGGUUGCCAAGCCGCGAGGUGGAGCUAAUCCGACAAAGCCGUCCUCAGUCCAGAUUGCAGGCUGCAACUCGCCUGCAUGAAGACGGAGUUGCUAGUAACCGCAGGUCAGCACACUGCGGUGAAUACGUUCCCGGGCCUUGUACACACCGCCCGU